UACACCUCAUCAAUUGGAAAGAAUCCCUUCCGGUCGAUGAGGUUGUUACACCUCAUCAACCAGGAGGGAUUCCUUCCAAUUGAUGAGGUGUA
rnacentral:miRNA from 1 species